GCAUGGGUUUGGAUUUAUGGCAGGCCCAUCCCCUCUGGGCCUCACAUAGUGUCCCAUGCUGGAGCAAACUGGCCCGGAACCAUUGCCUGGCUUCUGCCUGUAGGCUGCAGGCACUGAAGCGGGCUGCACAGUG
ensembl:snoRNA